rnacentral:Y_RNA from 1 species
GGCUGGUCCAAUGGUAGUGAUUUAUCAGAACUUAUUAACAUUAGUGUCACUAAAGUUGGUAUACAACCCCCCACUGCUAAAUUUGACUGGCUUUUA